UGGGGAAUAUUGGACAAUGGGCGAAAGCCUGAUCCAGCAAUGCCGCGUGUGUGAAGAAGGCCUUAGGGUUGUAAAGCACUUUCAAAUGGGAAGAAAAGCCAGGAGUUAAUACCUUCUGGCCUUGACUACCCCGUUCCAAGAAGCACCGGCUAACUCCGUGCCAGCAGCCGCGGUAAUACGGAGGGUGCGAGCGUUAAUCGGAAUUACUGGGCGUAAAGCGCACGCAGGCGGUUUGUUAAGUCAGAUGUGAAAGCCCUUGGGCUCAACCUAGGAAUUGCAUUUGAUACUGGCAAACUAGAGUAUAGGAGAGAGAAGUGGAAUUCCACAUGUAGCGGUGAAAUGCGUAGAGAUGUGGAGGAACAUCAGUGGCGAAGGCGACUUCUUGGCCUAAUACUGACGCUCAGGUGCGAAAGCGUGGGGAGCAAACAGGAUUAGAUACCCCCGUAGUCC
rnacentral:rRNA from 1 species